rnacentral:rRNA from 1 species
GGAAUAUUGCACAAUGGGCGAAAGCCUGAUGCAGCAACGCCGCGUGAGGGAUGACGGCCUUCGGGUUGUAAACCUCUUUUAGUAGGGAAGAAGCGAAAGUGACGGUACCUGCAGAAAAAGCACCGGCUAACUACGUGCCAGCAGCCGCGGUAAUACGUAGGGUGCAAGCGUUGUCCGGAAUUAUUGGGCGUAAAGAGCUCGUAGGCGGUUUGUCGCGUCUGCUGUGAAAUCCCGAGGCUCAACCUCGGGCUUGCAGUGGGUACGGGCAGACUAGAGUGCGGUAGGGGAGAUUGGAAUUCCUGGUGUAGCGGUGGAAUGCGCAGAUAUCAGGAGGAACACCGAUGGCGAAGGCAGAUCUCUGGGCCGUAACUGACGCUGAGGAGCGAAAGCAUGGGGAGCGAACAGGAUUAGAUACCCGAG